GUACGGUAUCGUAGUACUGAACUACCUGCGAGUCGAGCGGCAGCGGAAGUACCUUGCUACUUUGCCGGCGAGCGGCGGACGGGUGAGUAAUGUCUGGGAAACUGCCUGAUGGAGGGGGAUAACUACUGGAAACGGUAGCUAAUACCGCAUAACGUCGCAAGACCAAAGAGGGGGACCUUCGGGCCUCUUGCCAUCAGAUGUGCCCAGAUGGGAUUAGCUAGUAGGUGGGGUAACGGCUCACCUAGGCGACGAUCCCUAGCUGGUCUGAGAGGAUGACCAGCCACACUGGAACUGAGACACGGUCCAGACUCCUACGGGAGGCAGCAGUGGGGAAUAUUGCACAAUGGGCGCAAGCCUGAUGCAGCCAUGCCGCGUGUAUGAAGAAGGCCUUCGGGUUGUAAAGUACUUUCAGCGGGGAGGAAGGCGUUGAGGUUAAUAACCUCAGCGAUUGACGUUACCCGCAAAAGAAGCACCGGCUAACUCCGUGCCAGCAGCCGCGGUAAUACGGAGGGUGCAAGCGUUAAUCGGAAUUACUGGGCGUAAAGCGCACGCAGGCGGUCUGUCAAGUCGGAUGUGAAAUCCCCGGGCUCAACCUGGGAACUGCAUUCGAAACUGGCAGGCUAGAGUCUUGUAGAGGGGGGUAGAAUUCCAGGUGUAGCGGUGAAAUGCGUAGAGAUCUGGAGGAAUACCGGUGGCGAAGGCGGCCCCCUGGACAAAGACUGACGCUCAAGUGCGAAAGCGUGAAGAGCAAACAGGAUUAGAUACCCUGGUUACUCCACGCCGUACACGAUGUCGACUUGGAGGUUGUGCCCUUUGAGGCGUGCUUCCGGAGCUAACGCGUUAAGUCGACCGCCUGGGAGUACGGGCCGCAAGGUUAAAACUCAAAUUGAAUUGACGGAGGCCCGCACAACCGGUGGAGCAUGUUGAUUUAAUUCGAUGCAACGCGAAGACCUUACCUACUUCUUGACAUCUAGAGAACUUUUCCAGAAGAUGUAUUGGAUGCCUUCUGGCACUUCUGAGAACAGGUGCUGCAUUGGCCUGUCGAUCAGCUCGUGUCGUGACAAUUGUUGGGAUUAAUGUCCCGCACAGACGGCAACCUUUAUCUUUUGUUGGCCAGCGGUUUGAGCCCGGAUACUCAAGGGAAUAACUUG
rnacentral:rRNA from 1 species